AUACCAGGGUCAAAAGGUCUUUACCCACAUGAGCUUACUCAAAUGUGGGUAACAGACCUUGGGACCCGCUCAAAUAUGAGCAUACUAUAUGCGAAUAUUUGAUAGGAUUGCGAGAGUACAAAGUACGGAGAAAUCCGCAGGUA
rnacentral:sRNA from 1 species